rnacentral:lncRNA from 1 species
AAGAAAAUCUUGUGUGCACUUGUGCAAGACCAAUGAUCUUAUAUGAUACUAAAUAUUACUUAUCAUGCACUAUUAAUAAAUGCAUUUCAUAAGAUUUACAAGAAUGAUUUCUGCGAAUUAUUCAAUUUGUGCGAGAAAGAUUGACAAAAAGCAAUUUACCUCGUUUGACUUAAACCUCGCACCGAGGUUUCCAUUUUUAAAAAAUUGAUGGAGAUCGAAGAAAAUUGGAUGAAAGAAGAAAUCGUUAGAAAAGGGAUAUUUGCGAUAUUGCAAAUAAUGGAUCAAUCUUGUAUACGCAUAUACACGCGCACCAAUACCAAUCCAUCGAGUAAUUUCACGCGGUCAAUUAUUUCCGGGAUCGGCACAUAGCCAUUAACGCGUCCCCGAAUUGUCCAGCCAGACGCGGUUUGCACAACCACAGAUCCAAAAACGAGAGAUUCACAGAGAGGCGAGAAAUCGGCUCGAGCUUGUCCCUAGGAGACAUUCCAAUUCCUUGUACCAGCUAUGCUCGUUUUCACCCCCUCCCUCCCCCCUGUAAUUCCCGUGAAACGUCCCGCGAACACGUGAAAAAGGGAGGAGAUCCUCUCGCGGACCAAGCAAUCUCGAUGGUUGGUUCCCUCUUCCUCCUCCUCCUCCACCACCACCCUCUUCGCCUGUCUCUUCGAAAGGGAUUUAACUUGGACAAAAUUACAUUAGGACACAGUUGAAUCGAAUCCCAUUCUAAAUGGAGCCCCGUGGACGUUCGACCGUGCUACAAAUUAAGAGAACCAUCCCUCUCCCUCUCCUCCUCCUCCUCCCCCUCUUCUUUCACCCUUUCGGUUGGCACUCGUUCAACAAGGGCCGUGGAUCGAUUUGGAAAAGGGGGGAGGGAGGGAGGGAGGGAGAGGGUUUCGCGAGGUAGCCAGAAACGAUUUUCUCGCUCGUUUCCUCUCCGCCGACCUAUUGUCUCCUCGUCGACGCGCGAAAACGCUUCACGCGCCGUCGAGCAACCUUCUUUCUCUCUUCGUCCGCGAUUCCUCUCGCUUCAAAAGCAGCUCCAGAGAUGAAUAACGCUUUCUCUCUCUUUUUCUCUCUCUCUUUCUCUCUCCCUUAAGAGCGAAGCUUUUGCUUAAUUUCAAACGAUGCGCACUGUGUGUACCCUCUUGCGUACCGGAAGCGGAUGACGUUGUAUGUCUAAGGGGUUCUAGAAAAUGGGCAAAGUCGAGGUGAAAACUCGAGGAACGCGCGCAGAAUCGCGAGAUAGUGGUCGCGGAUCCCGUGGUUCCGGGGAAGAAGAGGUUCCUCGAGAACUGGUCAAAGUGGGAUCGCGCUGCCUCGUUAUACCUACUGUUCCUUCGAGUUUCUGAGGUUUGGAAAUCAUCUCUCUCUCUCUGUUUCUCUCUCUUUUUCUCUCUCUUGCACGCUUUCUGCAUUCACGUCGAUGAGUGAGUUUUAUUUAUAUAUUCGGGAACUGGUAUUAAUUUUAUGUUUUUUUUUUUUAGGUGUGAUUGUUGGUGUGAUGAUUGAUGAGGUGAUUGAGGUGAUCGAUGGAGGGUGGAUUAUGUAUCGUUGAUAUGCCUUAGAGGAGUUGUUUGUAUGAUAGAUUGGAGUGAAUUAAAAUUGAAAAUGUGAUGGUAAUGACAAUAUGUGACAAUAUGUUGAUAAUUUGUUUUGUAAAAUGUAAUUUGAUCUGAAUAUUGUGGUUGGAGAAUAUAUGGCUUAAUGUAACACGUUGACGAAAGACUCAAAGGAGAUAUUUUUAUAUCCGCGAUACAUUGGAUUUUAUUGAGCAAUUUUUUAAACUAUCAAUUUUAUAAAUUACUGAUGACUCUCUCAAUGGAGUGGAAAUCGUUCGUCAACAGUCAACAUUUGUAAGUAUUGAUCUAAAUCGAACAAUUGUAGGUGUGAUAUAAUUUGACAUGGAUAUUUUUUUUUUUUUUUUGCAUCCCGACAA